rnacentral:rRNA from 1 species
GUUAGGAAUAUUGGACAAUGGGCGAAAGCCUGAUCCAGCCAUGCCGCGUGAACGAUGAAGGCCUUCGGGUUGUAAAGUUCUUUAGCCGAUGAUUAUAAUGACUGUAGUCGGAAAAUAAGCCCCGGCUAACUUCGUGCCAGCAGCCGCGGUAAUACGAAGGGGGCGAGCGUUAUUCGGAAUCACUGGGCGUAAAGCGUGCGUAGGCGGUUUUGUAAGUUAGGAGUGAAAGCCCAGGGCUCAACCUUGGAAUUACUCUUAAAACUGCAAGGCUCGAAUCUCGGAGAGGAUAGCGGAAUUUCCAGUGUAGCAGUGAAAUGCGUAGAUAUUGGAAGGAACACCAGUGGCGUAAGCGGCUAUCUGGACGAGUAUUGACGCUGAGGCACGAAAGCGUGGGGAUCAAACAGGAUUAGAAACCCGGGUAGUCC